rnacentral:rRNA from 1 species
GCGGCGGACGGGUGAGUAACGCGUGGGUAACCUACCCUGUACACACGGAUAACAUACCGAAAGGUAUGCUAAUACGGGAUAAUAUAUUUGAGAGGCAUCUCUUGAAUAUCAAAGGUGAGCCAGUACAGGAUGGACCCGCGUCUGAUUAGCUAGUUGGUAAGGUAACGGCUUACCAAGGCGACGAUCAGUAGCCGACCUGAGAGGGUGAUCGGCCACAUUGGAACUGAGACACGGUCCAAACUCCUACGGGAGGCAGCAGUGGGGAAUAUUGCACAAUGGGCGAAAGCCUGAUGCAGCAACGCCGCGUGAGUGAUGAAGGCCUUCGGGUCGUAAAACUCUGUCCUCGAGGAAGAUAAUGACGGUACUUGAGGAGGAAGCCCCGGCUAACUACGUGCCAGCAGCCGCGGUAAUACGUAGGGGGCUAGCGUUAUCCGGAUUUACUGGGCGUAAAGGGUGCGUAGGCGGUCUUUCAAGUCAGGAGUGAAAGGCUACGGCUCAACCGUAGUAAGCUCUUGAAACUGGGAGACUUGAGUGCAGGAGAGGAGAGUGGGAUUCCUAGUGUAGCGGUGAAAUGCGU